rnacentral:rRNA from 1 species
CAAAAGAAUUUGUUAGACGAAUAACCUGGAAAGGUUAAUCAUAGAAGGUAAUAAUCCUGUAGUCGAAAACGAAUUCUCUCUUGAGUGGAUCCUGAGUACGACGGAGCACGUGAAAUUCCGUCGGAAUCUGGGAGGACCAUCUCCUAAGGCUAAAUACUCUCUAGUGACCGAUAGUGAACCAGUACCGUGAGGGAAAGGUGAAAAGCACCCCGGAAGGGGAGUGAAAGAGAACUUGAAACCGUGUGCUUACAAGUAGUCAGAGCCCGUUAAUGGGUGAUGGCGUGCCUUUUGUAGAAUGAACCGGCGAGUUACGAUCUGAUGCAAGGUUAAGCAGAAAAUGUGGAGCCGUAGCGAAAGCGAGUCUGAAUAGGGCGAAUGAGUAUUUGGUCGUAGACCCGAAACCAGGUGAUCUACCCUUGGUCAGGUUGAAGUUCAGGUAACACUGAAUGGAGGACCGAACCGACUUACGUUGAAAAGUGAGCGGAUGAACUGAGGGUAGCGGAGAAAUUCCAAUCGAACUUGGAGAUAGCUGGUUCUCUCCGAAAUAGCUUUAGGGCUAGCCUCAAGUGAUGAUUAUUGGAGGUAGAGCACUGUUUGGACGAGGGGCCCCUCUCGGGUUACCGAAUUCAGACAAACUCCGAAUGCCAAAUAAUUUAACUUGGGAGUCAGAAUGUGGGUGAUAAGGUCCAUAUUCGAAAGGGAAACAGCCCAGACCACCAGCUAAGGUCCCAAAAUAUAUGUUAAGUGGAAAAGGAUGUGGCGUUGCCCAGACAACUAGGAUGUUGGCUUAGAAGCAGCCAUCAUUUAAAGAGUGCGUAAUAGCUCACUAGUCGAGUGACACUGCGCCGAAAAUGUACCGGGGCUAAACAUAU